ACAAAGAUCAGCUGUUUCGUU
rnacentral:snRNA from 1 species